AUGCUCAUUAACUCCUCCUUGUCCAGCCUGCUUCUAUUCAUUAUGAGCUUCUACAGCCUGCCCGAGACGUUGCAUCAUGAGAUUGCUCGCGUCCAGGGCCGCUUCUUCUGGGCUGGUGAGGGCGAUAAGCAGAAGUACCACAUGGUGCGGUGGAGUGAGAUAUGCAAGCCUCGUGAUCAGGGCGGCCUCGGGAUCAUGUCCUCCAAAUGCAUGAACAUCGCUCUGCUAACACGAUGGCUCUGGCGGAUCUCAAACAGAGAGGGCGGUCUGUGGCUCCGCAUCAUCCAGCAGAAAUACCUCCGUGGCCAGCCUCUCGCCUUCUGCCAGCGGUCUGGGGGCUCCCAGUUCUGGCAAUCCAUCAUACAGCUCCUCCCUGUCCUCCGCGUUGGGACUUCGAUCGCGGUUGGAUCAGGCACUGCCACGCUGUUUUGGUUCGACCGUUGGGCUGGGGACGCCCCCUUUGCGGCCCGCUUUCCUGGCCUGUUCGCCAUUGCG
rnacentral:rRNA from 1 species